UACGUAGGUGGCAAGCGUUGUCCGGAUUUACUGGGCGUAAAGAGCGCGCAGGCGGUCGUUCAAGUCGCGUGUGAAAGCCCCCGGCUCAACUGGGGAGGGUCACGCGAUACUGAUCGACUGGAAGGCAGGAGAGGGUAGUGGAAUUCCCGGUGUAGUGGUGAAAUGCGUAGAUAUCGGGAGGAACACCAGUGGCGAAGGCGACUACCUGGCCUGUUCUUGACGCUGAGGCGGCGAAAGCUAGGGGAGCAAACGGGG
rnacentral:rRNA from 1 species